CUGACCCAGCAAAGCUGCAGGGUCCUCUCUCUGGUUUCUCAGGAGGCUGAGGUGGGAGGAUCGCUGGAGCCCAGGCCUUCGAGGUCAGCCUGGAUAGAAUGGUGAGAUGACAGAAACCCCCACACUGUGACGAGGGAGGGCAGGAGAAGCUGCUGUGGAUGUGGAGUUGGGAACAGAUGCCCAGUGGCACACCAGGGUAUGAUGUCUCCACCGCACAGAUACAAGAGGCGUGGAUAACCCCAAAAGCAGAAAUGAUAGUCAAACAUGUUAACAUAAUCAGGAAGUGGCAAGCAAAGGAGCAGACUGCAGCAGCCCUGAGAUGUGGCUGUUGCCUCGGAAGGAAUGUUGCCUUGGAAGGAAGAGGAAGGGAUCCCGGCGGAAGGAAGAGGAAGGGAUCCUGGCGGCAGAGCCCACAUGUGACACCAGUAACCCCCAACCCCUAAAUCAGCUACCUCCAUCCUGAUUGGUCAAUGCCUGAGCCAUGCUGGUUGGUAAAUAUUUUGAGCAUCACCUCAUUCUGCGGAACCAGGGGACUCAUUUGUGAAAACUACCUGGAACUCCUGUCUAUCAAUUUUAGCUUAGCCUUUCUUUCACAGUGUGCAAAGGGCGUUCAUUCUCAGCAAUGCAGAAGGCAACCUCCAGCUUGUCUCUCCUGAAAUUGCAGCCUGGUCCUUGGAGGCUGGGGGAGGGGACACCCCUGUUUCCAAGUGCUCCCGGGAGGCCAGGCUGUCAGAGCUGUACUAAAAUGUAAGGUUUGCUCUUGAGAAGGCUCAAAGAUCCCACUUCUCAUGGGAAGCGUGGAGUCCCUGCAGGGGCCCCAACUCUCAUCCAGGCCUGCGAGGUCAGAGGCCCUCUCACUGGUCCCCAGAUUCGAGCUCCCGCCGUGCUUGCUGGGACUGCCAGAUGUCCCUCCUGACUCCAGGGAAAGGAAGUUCCAGGCUCCUCUCCCCUCUGACCCCCAUACCGUGGGUCCUGCCAGUUGCUAGUUGCUCUUCUAUGUCUUCAGACGCUCCCCAUCUUAAGAUUCACUUUCUGCAGACCCCACCACCUCCUCAACCAUUUUAUCUAGCUGUGCCUCUGGAUACGGGUGUGGGACCCCACUGACAGGCCAGGCCAGGGCCAGUGUGCAUCACCAUCCCCGUGCAGUGCCCUCCUUUAAGGCCCACUUUGGUUUCUGCUGCCCUCAUUUCCUCUUCCCCUUCUGCCAGGACCUGAGCUCUUUCUCCUUCCCAGCAUCAUCGAACUUAUUCCAUCCACCUCCUCAACUCCCAUUCCCUCUGCAAGUCUCAGUGAUAAGAGUAGCCAAUGUUGACUGAGUGAGUCCUUCAUCGUCCGCAUCAGUGAUUCACUGAAUCCACACAGUAACCUACAAGGCAGGAAUCAUUACCCUCUUUUUCAGAUGAGCAAACUGAAUCUUCCGAAGGUUCAGACUGCACAUUGCAGAGCUGGACUGUGACCCACACUAAGUUUGGACCUGCCCCACCAUGAGGCUAGAGCCAUCUCUUCACAGUUCUCACUCGGGGGGCUGGGCUGGGGCCAAUGGAAGCCUGAGAGAGGCCGUCUCUUCCUGGUCCCCCUCCCCACUGAAAGUGCUUCCUUGACUUGAAGUCGCCCGCUGUCCAGAUGCUCCUCUCUCCCCUGCCCACAGGCUCAGUCCUCAACCCUCUUGUCCCUCGGCCACAGCGCUCACCCCCACACCUCCAAUCAUCAUCUCUGGGUGGAGACUCAUUUCCUCUCCUGCCCACUCAGUUUCCCAGCUGGCUGGUGGACAUCUGCCCCCAGAGAUGCUUGGACAACCCCAACCGAAUGCGUUCCACAUCCAAACUCCUGAUUGCCACCCUCCCAAACCCCCUCCCUCUCUCGAGAGCCCCAUCCUUGCGCCUCCUCGUUACACGGGCUCCACCUGCCAACACCAGCUCUGCCAUUCUCCUCUCCCUCAGCCUCCACGAGCCAUCAUCGGGUCCUUCCCACUUCCUGCUUCCAAUACCACUA
rnacentral:lncRNA from 1 species